UACGGGAGGCAGCAGUGGGGAAUAUUGCACAAUGGGCGAAAGCCUGAUGCAGCUAUGCCGCGUGUAUGAAGAAGGCCUUAGGGUUGUAAAGUACUUUCAUCGGGGAGGAAAAACAAAACUAAUAAUUUUAUUUCUUGACGUUACCCGAAAAAGAAGCACCGGCUAACUCCGUGCCAGCAGCCGCGGUAAUACGGGGGUGCUAGCGUUAAUCAGAAUUACUGGGCGUAAAGAGCACGUAGGUGGUUUUUUUAAGUCAGAUGUGAAAUCCCUGGGCUUAACCUAGGAACUGCAUUUUGAAACUGAAAUACUAGAGUAUCGUAGAGGGAGGUAGAAUUCUAGGUGUAGCGGUGAAAUGCGUAGAUAUCUGGAGGAAUACCUGUGGCGAAAGCGGCCUCCUAAACGAAUACUGACACUGAGGGUGCGAAAGCGUGGGGAGCAAACAGGGAUUAGAUACC
rnacentral:rRNA from 1 species